AUAGCGUAUAUUAAAGUUGUUGCAGUUAAAAAGCUCGUAGUUGAACUUCAGGCCUGGCUGGAUGGUCUACCUCACGGUAUGUACUGUCUGGCUGGGUCUUACCUCUUGGUGAGCCGGCAUGCCCUUUACUGGGUGUGUUGGGGAACCAGGACUUUUACCUUGAGAAAAUUAGAGUGUUCAAAGCAGGCUUAUGCCCGAAUACAUUAGCAUGGAAUAAUAAAAUAGGACGUGUGGUUCUAUUUUGUUGGUUUCUAGAGUCGCCGUAAUGAUUAAUAGGGAUAGUUGGGGGCAUUGGUAUUGAGUCGCUAGAGGUGAAAUUCUUGGAUUGACUCAAGACCAACUAUUG
rnacentral:rRNA from 1 species